rnacentral:rRNA from 1 species
UACAGAGGUCUCAAGCGUUGUUCGGAUUCAUUGGGCGUAAAGGGUGCGUAGGCGGCCAACUAAGUCGGAUGUGAAAUCCCCAGGCUCAACUUGGGAACUGCAUCCGAUACUGGAUGGCUUGAAUUCGGGAGAGGGAUGCAGAAUUCCAGGUGUAGCGGUGAAAUGCGUAGAUAUCUGGAGGAAUACCGGUGGCGAAGGCGGCAUCCUGGACCGACAUUGACGCUGAGGAGCGAAAGCUAGGGGAGCAAACGGG